rnacentral:rRNA from 1 species
AAAGUUAGAGGUUCGAAGGCGAUCAGAUACCGCCCUAGUUCUAACCAUAAACGAUGCCAGCCAGCGAUCCGGCUGUGUUCCUCAAAUGACACGCCGGGCAGCUUCCGGGAAACCAAAGCUUUUGGGUUCCGGGGGAAGUAUGGUUGCAAAGCUCAAACUUAAAGGAAUUGACGGAAGGGCACCACCAGGAUUGGAGCCUGCGGCUCAAUUUGACUCAACGCGGGAAAACUCACCCGGCCAGGACACAGGAAGGAUUGACAGAUUAAGAGCUCUUUCUUGAUUCUGUGGGUGGUGGUGCAUGGCCGUUCUUAGUUGGUGGAGCGAUUUGUCUGGUUUAUUCCGAUAACGAGCGAGGCUCUAGCCUACUAAAUAGACGUUCCGAUCAUCUGCGUCGGACGUCCUUCUUAGAGGGACAAGCGGCGUCUAGCCGCACGAGACAGAGCAAUAACAGGUCUGUGAUGCCCUUAGAUGUCCGGGGCCGCACGCGCGCUACAUUGAAGGAAUCAGCGUGUGCUUUCCCUGUCCGACAGGACUGGGUAACCCGUUGAACCUCCUUCGUGCUGGGGAUAGGGGCUUGUAAUUGUUCCCCUUGAACGAGGAAUUCCCAGUAAGCACGAGUCAUCAUCUCGUGUUGAUUACGUCCCUGCCCUUUGUACACACCGCCCGUCGCUACUACCGAUUGAAUGAUUUAGUGAGGUCUUCGGACUGGCGCUCGGAGCGGCUUCCGGGUCGCGCCGGCGUGCCGGAAAGAUGACCAAACUUGAUCAUU